rnacentral:lncRNA from 1 species
UCCAGCCACAAUGAGCAUGUGGGAACAGUGCCACAACUGGACUAAUUCAGUGUUUUGCGUCCCAUGGAAAAGGAACAACUAGCUUUCUGUGGAUGCAAGGGAGAGUUUAUGACGGCAGCUUAAACUAGGCAUUUAAUGCAUUCGUGAGAAUGGUGUGGAACUAUGAAGCUUCAUAAGCUUUGUUAUGCACGGACAGACAAGAAAAAGGACCCAAGGGUUGAAUUUUGAGGAACAUCAAUGGUGAUGAAGAUAUAUCUAUAAAAGAAAAAAACACUGUUUUAAAAGUUUUCUUCCUCCCUCCUGGACACAUGUAGGGCUGCAUUUUCUGUACUGCUUGUGGUUGGAUGGCGAAUGAAGGAAAGAGUCAGCUGAUCUUAAAUGUAUUUACUCACAAUCCUCCUUCUAGAAUCUGCCACCUUAAUGCCUGUCAGCAUCUUUUUCUGCAGACGACCCAUCCCAGCAGUACUCCUUCUCAAGAAGUUGUAGAGGCAUGAUUGUGUUCUUCCAACCCUACAGCUUAGUGAGAGAAGUUGCAUCAAUUUGGUGCUAAAUUACAGUGGAAAUGAUAACUACCAUAAGAGAAUGAAAUAAUCCCAUAAAGUGUUGGUGGGAGGAGUAAUCUCAGAGUUGCAAUACCUUUGUGUGUGGUAGAAUAGUGACAAUUGCAUCUUUUUAUAAAGGCUAUUGAAUAAAUCCACUAAUCAUAACAGAAUGACAUUUUGUUUUUUUCUUAGCUAACAGCUACUUGGAUAACUUUCUGCAACAGGCAUUCAUUGAGGUAAGACCACAAAAUUACAUUUGUGACUUUCAAUAUAAGGCAGAGAGCUUUUACUCUAAAUUUCUUUGCUUUCUCUGGUAUUCUUAGGAGAUAAUUCAAGCAAAAAAAAAUUAAUUAUCACUGGCAUUAACCAUUUUACUAUAAUGACCUCAUUACUGGCACACCUGAACAGAUAUCUGAAGAAUCAAUUUAGUAGCCAGUUAACUCCCUAGAGACACCAGAUAAAGGCACCAGAUUUUAGGGAGUCAUGCCAAUUACAACAAAAUACCUACUUUACAAUAAGCAUACUUGAGUGUGUUAAGAUAUCUAAUGUACUAUGUUAAGACUGCCUUGUUUUUUAUUAAUGCACAUCUUCUUUUGGGCUACAGGCCUUAUAUUUGAUGCCAACUCAACUCUCUCACUCAAAAAUUUUAGUGCCUCCUGAAUCAGUUUAAAAUCCACAUUGGUCACAUUUUGUGGUAAUAUCACCUCUGUGCCUGAGCCUCCAGCAUGUUUUGCAGUAUAAUUUCUCAGCACUGUUAUUCCUCACAUCCCUUUCACAGAGGCCAGCUUUGGUUAGCUGAUUACUUGUAUUUUCUUAAACAUACCACCUAGGAUGUGGCUACAUCCCCCAACUAUUUUCCCUCUACUUCUCUUUUAUCACAUUCUCUCCUAAGUAUCCUUUAAAUCUAAGGUCCAAUAAAAUUUAUGGCACCGUGGAUUUGUUGCUUAAACUUGGUUAACUACUUUCAUCCUUAACAUUCUUAAGGGCUCAUCUUAGUUUUAGCAUUUAUCACAAUUUUAAUUGUAUCUUUUACAUUGUAAGCUCCAUAAUAGCAGAGAUAAUGUAUGUUCUGUAUUCCUUUGAAUUCCCAAUUUUUUGGAAUGCAUCUACCAACUCAUAUAUAUUGAAUGAACAUUUGUUGAAUGAUAGAAAUAAGAGUACGCCAGCAGAAAAAUUUUAUUUAUGACCUUGGAUACAAAAAAUUAAUAAUAGGAUAUUAUCAAAUCAUAUCUAACAGUAAAGUAAAAUAAUUGUUCAACACAACAAAAGGAAAACAUAUUUAAAUAUGAAUAACUCACCUCAAAUUGAAAAUCCUUAUGAAUUAUGUAAGUGGUAAGAAUGCAAGAUAUGUAUCUAAGUGCAAUAAUUAUUUACAAGAAGUAAAAGCAAGCAAGAGUAAAUAGUAAUAUGUUGAAGCCUUUGAUUACUGAAAAAAUCAGAGAAAUGUGUAUCAUCAACACUAUUAUUCAACAUUAUCUUGAAAUAUCUAACCAAUACAAUGAGAUAAAAAACAAAACUUGAAAUAAAUAUUGUGAAAGGGAAAACAAACAUAUAUCCCUUUGCAGUUGAUAUGAUUGCAUAUGUAGAAAGCUCGGGAACCAAAUAAAAACAAUUUCUAUCAAAAGAAAACUUAAUGAGACAAAUAGAUUUAAAAAACAGUAAUCUAAAUUAGAAUUAUAAAUAUGUUAAACUUACGGUUUGUCCCAGUGUGUUAAGAAAGCUGCUCAGUGUGAUUGAAUUUAGGGCACAUUUUCAGGACUGUAGGCGAUGAGGUUAAAUAAAUAAUCAUUAUGACUAUCAAGUUUUGGGUUCUAACUAUGAGCCAAGUGUCAGGCCUCUGAGCCCAAGCCUGCACAUAUACAUCCAGAUGGCCUGAAGCAACUGAAGAAUGACAAAAGAAGUGAAAAUGGCCGGUUCCUGCCUUAACUGAUGACAUUACCUUGUGAAAUUCUUUCUCCUGGCUCAGAAGCUCCCCCACUGAGCACCUUGUGACCCCCUCCCCUGCCUGCCAGAGAACAACCCCUUUGACUGUAAUUUUCCACUACCUACCCAAAUCCUAUAAAACGGCCCCACCCCUAUCUCCCUUCCCUGACUCUCUUUUCAGACUCAGCCUGCCUGCACCCAGGUGAUUAAAAA